AUGUCAUUUGCCCUCUUCCCAACCCCUACUUUCCAGACCUAUGGUAGCCUUGAAAAUCAGCAGCCCACAGUCACAAGGAAGUUCAAAAUAGCCACCGCAGAGACCCAGGAGCUGUGGGAGCAGCUGGAGAUGGAAGAUGCUGAUAAUUCUGAGAAGAGUAUCAAUGAUGAAAAUGGAGAAGUAUCAGAAGACCAAUCUCAAAAUAAACACAGUCAUCACAAAAAAAGAAACAUAAACACAGAAGUAAACACAAGAAGCAUAAACAUUCCUCGGAAGAAGAACAAAAGAAGGCUAAAACACAUAAGCAUAAGCAUAAACAUAAACAUAAGAAACACAAAAGGAAAGAAAUUCUUGAUGCCUCUGACAAAGAAGGCAUGUCUCCAGCAAAAAAAACUAAACUUGAUGAUUUAGCUUUGCUGGAAGACUUGGAGAAGCAGAGGGCCUUGAUUAAAGCUGAACUCAAUAAAAAGCUGAUGGAAAGAAAGGUCCAGUCUGAGAUGAGACUCAAUUUACAGUGCAUGAGCCUGGCCCUGAGGAAGAAGGGGAAAUUUCUGAAAAGGUGAGAAAUGGGAAUAGGUCUAGUACUAGAUCUUCAAGUACAAAGGGGAAACUUGAACUGAUGGACAAUAAAAAUAGCACAAAAAAAUGAAGUACAAGCAGAUCCAAAGAACAGACUAAAUGUAAGUCAGAUAAAAAGAAAGGUAAGGGAGACAUUCAAAUAGCUGAAGAGAAAAACCACAAGGAGCAAGUCCAAGGAGAGAAGGAAAUCCCAGAGUCUCUCCAAGAGAAGCAAGUCUCAAGACCAAGCAAGAAAGUCAAAGUCCCCCAUGCUUAGAAUGCACUCUCAGGAGAAAUUGGUAAAGCCAGAUCUUCCCCCACUGAGGAGAAGGUUAAAAUUGAAAAGAAGAGUAAGAUAAAAGAUAAGAAAAAGUCCCCAAUUAUAAAUGAAAGUAGAAGUGGAGAUAGAGGUAAAAUGUCCAGAUCCCCAGUUGGUCAUGGUCCAAAGAGAAAAUCAGAAAGGUCUGAAGUUGGUAAGUAGAAGAAGCCCAUUAAGUCUCUGUCUAAGGAUGCUUCCUCUGAGAAAGAAAACAGGUCACCCAGUAAAAGACCUGAUCACAGUCCUAAGCGAAGUCUUCUCCUUGCGUGAGAAGUUCAAGAGAAGUAGAUCUCCACUCUUGAAUGAUAGAAGAUCUAAACAGCAAAACACUUUCCCGAACUCUGUCUCUGGGAAGAAGGGCCAAGAACCAACCUUUAGAAAGAAAACAUUGGGAACUAGAGAGGAGACAACUUUCUUCUCCAAGAACACGCCCUUGAGAUAACCUCCUCAGCAGGAAGGAAUGGUACAAGGAUGGACCUCUCAAUCGGUGGUCUCCAACACGGAGAAGUCACUCUCCCAUAAAAAGGUGAUCCCGCUCCCCAUUCAGGCACAGUGGGUAUCCCCAGUGGAGAAACAGGUCUCCCCAAGAAAAGAUAGACUUCAGAGGGGCAGAUCAUGCAUGCUUGAGGAGGAGGAGGUCUUGAUCACAGGGUGGCCACUGGCAAAGGAGCAGAAGCAAAGUGAAGGAAGACAAAUUCAAAGGAAGUAUUUUGGAAGGCAUGAUUGUGGAAGGCAUGAAAGUUGAGCAGGAGUUGUCCUCUGAUUACAAAGAUUUUGAAUUAGAGAAAGAGAAUGAAGAAGGACUAAUAGAACAGAGAUGAACACAGAGGCAAGAGACUGCUCAGAAAUAUAAGUACCUGGCUGAAGACGGUAAUCUGUCUGUGCCAUCAGAGCCACCAGCCCCCAGAGCAGCACUUGGACAUGAUCGCCCUCUCCAGAUGGUAUCCUGGAGCGGGUCACAGCUGUUGUCAAAGAAUAUGAGCAGGAAAAUGUUGACACAUUGGAAGCCUCAGUAAAAGCCAAGCAUAAUCUUAUGACAGUUGAACAGAAUAAUGGUUCAUCUCAAAAGAAGCUGUUGCACCUGCCAUGUUUACAGAAUCUGAUGAUAUGUUUGCUGUAUAUUUUUAUAGUGCUGGACUUGGGGCUGCUGGCUUUGGAAAAGAUUUCAAAGAGAACCCCACACUCAAAGAUAACUGGACUGAUGCAGAAGGCUAUUUAUGUGUGAACACAGGUGAAGUCUUAGAUAAGUGUUAUGUGUAUGGCUACAUUGGGCAAGGUAUCUUCAGCAACAUUAUGCAGGCAAGAGAUAAUGCAAGAAGAAAACAAGGUGGCUAUGAAGAUCAUCAGGAACAAUGAGCUCAUUCAAAAGACUGGCCUAAAAGAACUCGAGUUCCUGAAGAGAUGCUUACCCUGAUGACAAGUUCCACUGCAUGUGGCUUUUCAGGCACUUCUACCACAAGCAGCAUCUGUGCCUCGUGUUUGAGCCUUUCAAUAUGAAUUAAUGAGAGGUAUUUAAAAAAUAUGGUAAGGAUUUUGGUCUUCAUAUUAAAGCUGUAAGAUCCUACAUUCAGCAGCUGUUCCUGGCAUCAAAACUCCUUAAAACAUACAAUAUCCUACACUCAGAUAUUGAGCCAGACAUCCUGGUUAAUGAAUCAAAAAUGAUUUUAAAGCUCUAUGAUUUGGGGUCAGCUUCCCACAUCAUGGAUAAUGACAUAACACCUUACUUUGUCACUAGAUUUUAUCUGGCUCCCGAGAUCAUUAUAGGUAAAAACUAUAACUAUGGUAUAGAUAUGUGGUCUGUAGGCUGUACCUUAUAUGAGCUCUAUACUGGAAAAUUUUGUUUCCUGGUAAAACCAAUAACCACAUGUUGAAGCUUGCCAUGGAUCUCAAAGGAAAGAUGCCAAAUAAGAUGAUUCGGAAAGGUGUAUUUAAAGAUCAGCAUUUUGAUCAAAAUCUCAACUUCAUGUACACAGAAGUUGAUAAAGUAACAGACAGGGAGAAAGUCACUGUCAUGAGCACCAUUAAUCCAACUAAGGACGUGUUGGCUGACUUGAUUGGGUACCAGUAACUUCCUGAAGACCAAUGUAAAAAAGUGUACCAGCUAAAAGACUUGUUGGACCAGAUCCUAAUGUUGGACCCAGCUAAACGAAUUAGUAUCAGCCAGGCCCUACAACAUGCAUUCAUCCAGGAAAAAAAUUUAAACAGAUGA